rnacentral:rRNA from 1 species
ACGGCUCAGUAACACGUAGUCAACAUGCCCAGGGGACGUGGAUAACCUCGGGAAACUGAGGAUAAACCGCGAUAAGUCACUACUUCUGGAAUGGGUAAUGACUAAAAUCUACAUGGCCCCUGGAUUGGACUGCGGCCGAUCAGGCUGUUGGUGAGGUAAUGGCCCACCAAACCUGUAACCGGUACGGGCUCUGAGAGGAGGAGCCCGGAGAUGGGCACUGAGACAAGGGCCCAGGCCCUAUGGGGCGCAGCAGGCGCGAAACCUCUGCAAUAGGCGAAAGCCUGACAGGGUUACUCUGAGUGAUUUCCGUUAAGGAGAUCUUUUGGCACCUCUAAAAAUGGUGCAGAAUAAGGGGUGGGCAAGUCUGGUGUCAGCCGCCGCGGUAAUACCAGCACCCCGAGUGGUCGGGACGUUUAUUGGGCCUAAAGCAUCCGUAGCCGGUUCUACAAGUCUUCCGUUAAAUCCACCUGCUUAACAGAUGGGCUGCGGAAGAUACUAUAGAGCUAGGAGGCGGGAGAGGCAAGCGGUACUCGAUGGGUAGGGGUAAAAUCCGUUGAUCCAUUGAAGACCACCAGUGGCGAAGGCGGCUUGCCAGAACGCGCUCGACGGUGAGGGAUGAAAGCUGGGGGAGCAAACCGGAUUAGAUACCCGGGUAGUCCCAGCUGUAAACGAUGCAGACUCGGUGAUGAGUUGGCUUCUUGCCAACUCAGUGCCGCAGGGAAGCCGUUAAGUUUGCCGCCUGGGGAGUACGGUCGCAAGACUGAAACUUAAAGGAAUUGGCGGGGGAGCAC